rnacentral:rRNA from 1 species
UAGGGAAUCUUCCGCAAUGGGCGAAAGCCUGACGGAGCAACGCCGCGUGAGUGAUGAAGGUCUUCGGAUCGUAAAACUCUGUUAUUAGGGAAGAACAAAUGUGUAAGUAACUAUGCACGUCUUGACGGUACCUAAUCAGAAAGCCACGGCUAACUACGUGCCAGCAGCCGCGGUAAUACGUAGGUGGCAAGCGUUAUCCGGAAUUAUUGGGCGUAAAGCGCGCGUAGGCGGUUUUUUAAGUCUGAUGUGAAAGCCCACGGCUCAACCGUGGAGGGUCAUUGGAAACUGGAAAACUUGAGUGCAGAAGAGGAAAGUGGAAUUCCAUGUGUAGCGGUGAAAUGCGCAGAGAUAUGGAGGAACACUAGUGGCGAAGGCGACUUUCUGGUCUGUAACUGACGCUGAUGUGCGAAAGCGGGGGGAUCAAACAGG